UCCUGACGAAGAUCGCAAGAAGAGG
rnacentral:piRNA from 3 species